rnacentral:snoRNA from 1 species
UGGACCAAUGAUGAAUAGCAUGGGGUUUCUGAAGCUGGACAGUGAUUAAACCCUUGUGCAACUCUGAGGUCUUU